rnacentral:tRNA from 1 species
AAAAAGAUAAGCUAAAUAAGCUAACGGGUUCAUACCCCGUAUAUAAAGGUCCGCCCCUUUUCUUUUUA